rnacentral:rRNA from 1 species
UACGUAGGGUGCGAGCGUUGUCCGGAAUUAUUGGGCGUAAAGAGCUCGUAGGCGGUCUGUCGCGUCGAUCGUGAAAACUUGGGGCUUAACCCUGAGCUUGCGGUCGAUACGGGCAUGACUGGAGUUCGGCAGGGGAGACUGAAAUUCCUGGUGUAGCGGUGAAAUGCGCAGAUAUCAGGAGGAACACCGGUGGCGAAGGCGGCCUGCUGGGCAGUUGCUGACACUGAGGCGCGACAGCGUGGGGAGCAAACAGG